GCAUCAGUGGUUUAGUGGUAAAAUCCAUCGUUGCCAUAGUAGAAAAUCUUCUGUAUUGAUUUCGAUGGGCCCCGCGUUCGAUUCGCGGCUGAUGCA